rnacentral:rRNA from 1 species
AGGUGAAAAGAACCCCGGGAGGGGAGUGAAAGAGAACCUGAAACCAUAUGCCUACAAGAAGUCAGAGCCCGUUAAAGGGUGAUGGCGUGCCUUUUGUAGAAUGAACCGGCGAGUUACUGUAUGGAGCGAGGUUAAGCAGGAUAUGCGGAGCCGAAGCGAAAGCGAGUCUUAAGAGGGCGAAAGUUGCAUGCAGUAGACCCGAAACCGGGUGAUCUAGCCAUGACCAGGUUGAAGUUGGGGUAAAACCCGAUGGAGGACCGAACCGACCCCCGUUGAAACGUUGGCGGAUGAGUUGUGGCUAGGGGUGAAAUUCCAAUCGAACCCGGAGAUAGCUGGUUCUCCCCGAAAUAGCUUUAGGGCUAGCGUCGAGGUAGAGAGUUGCGUGAAGGUAGAGCACUGAAUAUGUGAUGGCCCCAUCUCGGGGUACUGAGCAUAAUCAAACUGCGAAUGUCACGGAAACAUACUCGGCAGUCAGACAGCGGGUGAUAAGGUCCGUUGUCAAGAGGGAAACAGCCCAGACCAUCAGCUAAGGUCCCAAAAUGUAUGCUAAGUGGAAAAGGAUGUGGAGAUGUACAGACAACUAGGAGGUUGGCUCAGAAGCAGCCAUCCUUUAAAGAGUGCGUAACAGCUCACUAGUCGAAUGACUCUGCGCCGAUAAUUUACCGGGGCUAAGCAUACUACCGAAGCUAUGGAUCCCAAGGGAUGGUAGGGGAGCGUUCCAUGAACGGAGAAGCGCGAUCGAGAGGACGCGUGGAGAUCAUGGAAGAGAGAAUGCCGGUGUGAGUAGCGGAACGUGGGUGAGAAUCCCACGCACCGAAAACCCAAGGUUUCCAGAGGAAGGUUCGUCCGCUCUGGGUAAGUCGGGACCUAAGGCGAGGCCGAGAGGCGUAGUCGAUGGACAACAGGUAGAGAUUCCUGUACUCAUAUAUAUGUGAAGGAAUGACGGAGAGAGGAAGCUGCAGCCAGCGGCUGGAAGAGCUGGUGCAAGCGAGAUAUCGGGAUGGCAGGCAAAUCCACCAUCCGAAACGAGAAGGCGUGAAGCGUACGGAAAGCUAAGGCGAGUACGGAAGGCAGUGGAGGAGCUUCCAAGAAAAGUUUCUAACGAAAGUAUAUAUGGCCCGUACCGAAAAUGGACACACAUGGGUGAGGAGAGAAUCCUAAGGUGAGCGAGAGAACUAUAGCUAAGGAACUCUGCAAAAUGACUCCGUAACUUAGGGAGAAGGAGUGCUCAUAGAGAUAUGAGCCGCAGUGAAACGGCCCAAGCGACUGUUUACCAAAAACACAGCUCUCUGCUAAGCCGCAAGGCGAAGUAUAGGGGGUGACGCCUGCCCGGUGCUGGAAGGUUAAGGGGAGGGGUUAACGCAAGUGAAGCCCUGAACUGAAGCCCCAGUAAACGGCGGCCGUAACUAUAACGGUCCUAAGGUAGCGAAAUUCCUUGUCAGGUAAGUUCUGACCCGCACGAAAGGCGUAACGAUUUGGGCGCUGUCUCAGCUGUAGACUCGGUGAAGUCUUAGUACCUGUGAAGAUGCAGGUUACCCGCGACUAGACGGAAAGACCCCAUGGAGCUUCACUGCAGGUUGAUAUUGGGAUUUGAUGCAGCAUGUACAGGAUAGGUAGGAGGCAAAGAGAUGGAUACGCCAGUAUUCAAGGAGCCGCUGUUGGGAUACUACCCCUGUUGUAUUGGAUUUCUAACCGGACGACGUAAAGCCGUUGACGGGACAGUGUCAGUCGGGCAGUUUGACUGGGGCGGUCGCCUCCCAAAGAGUAACGGAGGCGCCCAAAGAUACCCUCAGCUUGGAUGGAAACCAAGCGCAGAGUGCAAAGGCAAAAGGGUGUUUGACUGCGAGACCUACAAGUCGAGCAGGGACGAAAGUCGGGCUU